ACUCAAAUGAAUUGACGGGGACCCGCACAAGCAGUGGAGCAUGUGGUUUAAUUCGAUGCAACGCGAAGAACCUUACCUAGGCUUGACAUGCAGAUGACGAUAUCAGAGAUGAUAUUUCUCUUCGGAGCGUCUGCACAGGUGCUGCAUGGCUGUCGUCAGCUCGUGCCGUGAGGUGUUGGGUUAAGUCCCGCAACGAGCGCAACCCUUAUCAUUAGUUGCCAACAGUUCGGCUGGGGACUCUAAUGAGACUGCCUGGGUUAACCAGGAGGAAGGUGAGGAUGACGUCAAGUCCGCAUGGCCCUUAUGUCUAGGGCUACACACGUGCUACAAUGGCCGAUACAGAAGGCAGCGAAACCGCGAGGUGAAGCAAAUCCUAUAAAGUCGGUCCCAGUUCGGAUUGUAGUCUGCAACUCGACUACAUGAAGUUGGAAUUGCUAGUAAUGGCGUGUCAGCAACAACGCCGUGAAUACGUUCCCGGGUCUUGCACACACCGCCCGU
rnacentral:rRNA from 1 species